AUUGUAUUGUGGAGAAACCUUCCCCACUGGAACUGAGCUACAACACACAUUUGCUGUGACUCAGAUAGACGCUCCUGGUGCCUGGCUCCCCCUAGUGGUCUGAGCCGCACUGGCACCCGACCCCUCAUCUCUAGUCCACCCACAAUAGACUCACCUUCCAGCUCACCUAUCGCUCAGCACCUCGUCCACCAGCUGCAGUUAGGACUGCAGCCAUUAUCACCUCUCUGAGCAGCAUGGUGACUGUCACAGAUUUGUGAUGAGCUGAAUCUCACACACCUUCCUCAGUGUGUGUGUGUAUGUGUGUGUGUGUGUGUGUAGAUUCUGUGUAUAUUUGAGUUUGGUGUAUGUAUAUACGUAGGAUGGUGUAGAUAUCUAUGUAUAUGUUUAACCUAUGUCACGUAUGUUGCAUCUGUGUCAUGUAUGUUCUUUGGUGUGUAUGAAUGACAAAUGUGCCCAUUCACAGAGUCCAGAGGAAGAUACUGAUGUGCCUCUAUUACUAAACCUUAUUUCAGAGUAGAACAGUAUAUAAGGAGUUCAUAGCAACUGGAAGUUGAUUUUGUUAGAUGGUAUAUUUGCUAACAGGUUAAGAUGGGGUUUUCUAGCUGGGAACCAGUAUGGACCUAUGGGUCCCAUGCACCCACUGCUGGCUGGCCUUGACUACCUCAGGAUGCCUAAGGACAGGUUGUAAGGUUUGUGAGGACACUCACAAGUUUCUGUGAGAGACAAAGUUUAAAAAGUAAGGCACAGAACUUGAACCCAACUGAUAAACAUGUCAAGUGAAGUUUCUGACUCAGGUGAGCUUUCUUACUUUUUGCUUGACUGUAAGCCCAGAUGCAAUUUCAGGUAGAAGCUGAAGUUCCUGGUGCAGACAGCAUGGUGUCUCCUUAGGUGAGAUGCUUGACAAUAGGCUAUGUGAUAUCCCAACACCAUGGAAACUGGAUCCUAUUGAUGGGUAUGCUCUGCUGGGCUCCCAGAAGAAUCUUUGAGGAUGCCAUUUGGGACUUAAACCCUUAAAGGUUGAUCUUUGCACUUUGAUGAUCAUGGACUGUUGAAGCUCCAGGGUAUCACAGAUAUGAUAGGAUUUCCGGAUCAAAGUAGACCACCUCACAAGCUAUGUGAGAGAGGAGAUGACUGCAGCUCUGUGGACUGCAUCAGGGUUGUCUCAUGUGAGACAGCAUGAGGCAGCCCUCCUCCCCUCCUCGUACUCCACGUCAGCCCUUCAGAUUGUCCAGUCCUGCAACCAUGCUGUCCUGAUGGCCAUCAUCCUGACUGAGCACUAUGGCCACCACUCACAGCACAGUACACCAUGAAAGUCUGUCUGGCCUAGAGAGGGUCUGGUUGCCUGAACAUGUUUCCUGGAUGUCUGGAAUUGCUUUGAAGCUGUAAUGACCUUACUGCUGAAGGUAGUGCAUGCUUCUGUCUGGCAACAAAAUGGGUGUCCUGCAAAGGGACGACGUGACAAAUUCAUUGUCAGCGGCAGACUAUAAUGAGAAGCUCACUAGGAACUGUGAGUGGGUUCACAGUUUCUUUGCUGCUUCUGCCAAUGAUGGCCUUGCCUAGAAGCGAUGCUACCCAGAACACAGUCAUUCCCCAUAAAGCUCACAGAAACUCAUGUUUUACUUAUCUAAGUGUAUUUUGAAACAGAUUUGCUGUUUCUUAACAAUGCUAUUUAAUUCUACAAUAAAAGUGUCUGGUGUGUCAUGCU
ensembl:lincRNA